rnacentral:rRNA from 1 species
CUUCGGCCCGAGUUGUAAUUUGCAGAGGAUGUUUAUGGUGCGGUACCUACCGAGUUCCCUGGAACGGGACGCCACAGAGGGUGAGAGCCCCGUCUGGUAGGAUACUAAACCUGUGUUAAACUCCUUCAACGAGUCGAGUAGUUUGGGAAUGCUGCUCUAAAUGGGAGGUAAAUCUCUUCUAAAGCUAAAUACCGGCCAGAGACCGAUAGCGCACAAGUAGAGUGAUCGAAAGAUGAAAAGCACCUUGAAAAGGGGGUUAAACAGUACGUGAAAUUGUUGAAAGGGAAGCGUUUAUGACCAGACUUGUGCCGUGUGGCUCAUCCGAGGUUCUCCCCGGUGCACUCCACGCGGCUCAGGCCAACAUCGGUUCUUGUUGGGGGAUAAGAAUAGUAGGAACGUAGCUCUCUUCGGAGAGUGUUAUAGCCUAUUGUACGAUACCCUGACGGGGACCGAGGACCGC